rnacentral:tRNA from 1 species
GCUGAUGUGGCACAGCCGGUAGCGCAAGUGAUUCGUAAUCACUAGGUCGGGGGUUCGAAUCCCCCCAUCAGCUCCA